GAUGAACGCUGGCGGCGUGCCUAAUACAUGCAAGUCGAGCGAACAGAUAAGGAGCUUGCUCCUUUGACGUUAGCGGCGGACGGGUGAGUAACACGUGGGUAACCUACCUAUAAGACUGGGAUAACUUCGGGAAACCGGAGCUAAUACCGGAUAACAUUUGGAACCGCAUGGUUCUAAAGUGAAAGAUGGUUUUGCUAUCACUUAUAGAUGGACCCGCGCCGUAUUAGCUAGUUGGCAAGGUAACGGCUUACCAAGGCGACGAUACGUAGCCGACCUGAGAGGGUGAUCGGCCACACUGGAACUGAGACACGGUCCAGACUCCUACGGGAGGCAGCAGUAGGGAAUCUUCCGCAAUGGGCGAAAGCCUGACGGAGCAACGCCGCGUGAGUGAUGAAGGGUUUCGGCUCGUAAAACUCUGUUAUUAGGGAAGAACAAAUGUGUAAGUAACUGUGCACGUCUUGACGGUACCUAAUCAGAAAGCCACGGCUAACUACGUG
rnacentral:rRNA from 1 species